rnacentral:rRNA from 1 species
AAUGAACGUUGGCGGCAUGGAUUAGGCAUGCAAGUCGAGCGAGAAGUGUAGCAAUACACGAAAAGCGGCGGAAGGGAGAGUAAUACGUGGGAAUCUGCCCUUAGACCUGGGAUAGCAGCGGGAAACUGCUGGUAAUACCAGAUAAUGUCUAUGGACCAAAGGUGUGAUUCCGUCUAGGGAUGAGCCCACGUCCUAUUAGCUAGUUGGUAGGGUAAUGGCCUACCAAGGCGAUGAUGGGUAGCGGGUGUGAGAGCAUGACCCGCCUCACUGGGACUGAGACACGGCCCAGACACCUACGGGUGGCUGCAGUCGAGGAUCUUCGGCAAUGGGCGCAAGCCUGACCGAGCGAUGCCGCGUGCGGGAUGAAGGCCUUCGGGUUGUAAACCGCUGUCGAGGGGGAGCAACUUCCAUAGAGUUAUCUUUAUGGAUUGAGUGAUCCCUGGAGGAAGGACGGGCUAAGUUCGUGCCAGCAGCCGCCGUAACAC